rnacentral:misc_RNA from 1 species
AAGUCGUAACAAGGUAACCGUAGGUGAACCUGCGGUUGGAUCAUUAGAGAUAUAAAAAAUAUAUGUAUAUAUAUAUAAUUGUAUAUAUAUAUAUAUAUUCUUUUUCCCCCCCUCGGUAACUGUUUCCUGUUAUUUUGGCAAAGGGGGUGUUUAGCUCCUUCUUUGCCUGCUGUAUUUUAUGUUUGUUAUCUUUUGUCGUCUCAUGUCGUCAACAGUGUCCUUUUUAUAAAGGGUCUGUUUUUAUAAAUAAUGAAAACAACUUUAGACAAUGGAUCUCUUGGCUCUC